CUAGGAAUAUUGGGCAAUGGGCGAAAGCCUGACCCAGCAACACCGCGUGAAGGACGACGGCCUUCGGGUUGUAAACUUCUUUUCGAGGGAAUGAGAAAGGACAGUACCCUCGGAAUAAGGCCCGGCUAACUACGUGCCAGCAGCCGCGGUAAUACGUAGGGGCCAAGCGUUAUCCGGAUUUACUGGGCGUAAAGCGCAUGUAGGCGGUCGAUCAAGUCGGAUGUGAAAGCUCCUGGCUUAACUGGGAGAGGUCAUUCGAAACUAGUCGGCUGGAGGGUGGUAGAGGAGAGCGGAAUUCCAGGUGUAGCGGUGAAAUGCGUAGAUAUCUGGAGGAACACCAGUGGCGAAAGCGGCUCUCUGGACCAUUCCUGACGCUGAGAUGCGAAAGCCAGGGGAGAGA
rnacentral:rRNA from 1 species